AAACCAACAGGGAUUGCCUUAGUAGCGGCGAGUGAAGCGGCAAAAGCUCAAAUUUGAAAUCUGGCUCUUUCAGAGUCCGAGUUGUAAUUUGAAGAAGGUAUCUUUGGGUCUGGCUCUUGUCUAUGUUUCUUGGAACAGAACGUCACAGAGGGUGAGAAUCCCGUGCGAUGAGAUGAUCCAGGCCUAUGUAAAGUUCCUUCGAAGAGUCGAGUUGUUUGGGAAUGCAGCUCUAAGUGGGUGGUAAAUUCCAUCUAAAGCUAAAUAUUGGCGAGAGACCGAUAGCGAACAAGUACAGUGAUGGAAAGAUGAAAAGAACUUUGAAAAGAGAGUGAAAAAGUACGUGAAAUUGUUGAAAGGGAAGGGCUUGAGAUCAGACUUGGUAUUUUGUAUGUUACUUUUUCGGGGGUGGCCUCUACAGUUUAUCGGGCCAGCAUCAGUUUGGGCGGUAGGAGAAUUGCGUUGGAAUGUGGCACGGCUUCGGUUGUGUGUUAUAGCCUUCGUCGAUACUGCCAGCCUAGACUGAGGACUGCGGUUUAUACCUAGGAUGUUGGCAUAAUGAUCUUAAGUCGC
rnacentral:rRNA from 1 species